rnacentral:rRNA from 1 species
UACGAAGGGGGCUAGCGUUGCUCGGAAUCACUGGGCGUAAAGCGCACGUAGGCGGGUUGUUAAGUCGGGGGUGAAAUCCUGGAGCUCAACUCCAGAACUGCCUUCGAUACUGGCGACCUUGAGUCCGGGAGAGGUGAGUGGAACUCCGAGUGUAGAGGUGAAAUUCGUAGAUAUUCGGAGGAACACCAGUGGCGAAGGCGGCUCACUGGUCCAUUACUGACGCUGAGGUGCGAAAGCGUAGGGAGCAAACAGG